rnacentral:rRNA from 1 species
AUUGAACGCUGGCGGCAUGCCUAACACAUGCAAGUCGAGCGGAUGAAGGGGGCUUGCUCCUCUAUUCAGCGACCGGCGGACGAGUAAUGCAUACGAAUCUGCCCGGUAUAUGGGGAUAACGUCCGGUAACGGGCCCUAAUAUCGCAUACGUCAAGAGUGUGAACGGCGGGGAUCUUCAGUCCACACGCGUUCAGAUGACCCUAGGUCGGAUUAGCUAGUUGGUGGGGUAAAGGCCUACCAAGGCGACGUUCCGUAACUGGUCUGAGAGGAUGAUCAGUCACACUGGAACUGAGACACGGUCCAGACUCCUACGGGAGGCAGCAGUGGGGAAUAUUGGACAAUGGGCGAAAGCCUGAUCCAGCCAUGCCGCGUGUGUGAAGAAGGUCUUCGGAUUGUAAAGCACUUUAAGUUGGGAGGAAGGGCAGUAAGUUAAUACCUUGCUGUUUUGACGUUACCAACAGAAUAAGCACCGGCUAACUUCGUG